UACGAGGGGGGCAAAUGUUGUUCGGAAUCACUGGGCGUAAAGCGCACGUAGGCGGAUUGCUAAGUCAGGGGUGAAAUCCUGGAGCUCAACUCCAGAACUGCCUUUGAUACUGGCGACCUUGAGUCCGGGAGAGGUGAGUGGAACUGCGAGUGUAGAGGUGAAAUUCGUAGAUAUUCGCAAGAACACCAGUGGCGAAGGCGGCUCACUGGCCCGGUACUGACGCUGAGGUGCGAAAGCGUGGGGAGCAAACAGG
rnacentral:rRNA from 1 species